rnacentral:rRNA from 1 species
AGCAUGUGCGCGAGUCAUUGGGAAUAUCUCUAAACCUAAAGGCGUAAUGAAAGUAAAGGUUCUCCUCGCGAGAACCGAGGGAGGAUGGGCGGUUUUCACCCUUAAAAGUGGCCGCCCCGCACUCCCGGGGCGUCUCGUUCUCAUCGCGAGAAGAGGCGCACCAAGAGCGUACACGCUGGGACCCGAAAGAUGGUGAACUAUGCCUGGUCAGGACGAAGUCAGGGGAAACCCUGAUGGAGGUCCGUAGCGAUUCUGACGUGCAAAUCGAUCGUCGGAACUGGGUAUAGGGGCGAAAGACUAAUCGAACCAUCUAGUAGCUGGUUCCCUCCGAAGUUUCCCUCAGGAUAGCUGGCGCUCGUAGCGUACGAGUCUCAUCCGGUAAAGCGAAUGAUUAGAGGCAUUGGGGUCGAAACGACCUCGACCUAUUCUCAAACUUUAAAUGGGUGAGAUCUCCGGCUUGCUCGAACACACACUAAAACGUUGAAGCCGCGUGACACACGGAUCAGAGUGCCAAGUGGGCCAUUUUUGGUAAGCAGAACUGGCGCUGUGGGAUGAACCAAACGUCGAGUUAAAGCGCCUAAAUCGACGCUUAUGGGAUACCAUGAAAGGCGUUGGUAACUUAAGACAGCAGGACGGUGGCCAUGGAAGUCGGA